rnacentral:rRNA from 1 species
AGCAGCCGCGGUAAUUCCAGCUCCAAUAGCGUAUAUUAAAGUUGUUGCAGUUAAAAAGCUCGUAGUUGAAUUUCGGGAUCAGUAUGUUGGUCGUGCUUCGGUACGUACUGUCAUUACUGGUUUCUACCUUCUGAAGAACCUUGAUGUCAUUAAUUUGGUGUCUUGGGGAAUCAGGACUGUUACCUUGAAAAAAUUAGAGUGUUUAAAGCAAGCAUACGCUUGAAUACAUUAGCAUGGAAUAAUGAAAUAGGACGUUUGAUUCUAUUUUGUUGGUUUCUAGGAUCGACGUAAUGAUUAAUAGGGAUAGUUGGGGGCAUUAGUAUUCAAUUGUCAGAGGUGAAAUUCUUGGAUUUAUUGAAGACUAACUACUGCGAAAGCAUUUGCCAAGGAUGUUUUCAUUAAUCAAGAACGAAAGUUAGGGGAUCGAAGACGAUCAGAUACCGUCGUAGU